AGUCAAGUAAUUAAGUGCAUGUGGUGGAUGCCUUGGCAGUCAGAGGCGAUGAAAGACGUGAUAGCCUGCGAAAAGCUCCGGGGAGGCGGCAAAUAUCCUUUGAUCCGGAGAUGUCUGAAUGGGGGAACCCACCUACUUUAAGGUAGGUAUUGCAACAUGAAUACAUAGUGUUGCAAGGCGAACGAGGGGAAGUGAAACAUCUCAGUACCCUUAGGAAAAGAAAUCAAUUGAGAUUCCCUCAGUAGCGGCGAGCGAACGGGGAUCAGCCCAUUAAGUUAUGUGUGUUUUAGUGGAACGCUCUGGGAAGUGCGAACGUAGAGGGUGAUAUUCCCGUACACGAAAGGGCACACAUAAUGAUGACGAGUAGGGCGAGGCACGUGAAACCUUGUCUGAAUAUGGGGGGACCAUCCUCCAAGGCUAAAUACUCCUGACUGACCGAUAGUGAACCAGUACCGUGAGGGAAAGGCGAAAAGAACCCCUGUGAGGGGAGUGAAAUAGAUCCUGAAACCGCAUGCAUACAAGCAGUGGGAGCACCUUCGUGGUGUGACUGCGUACCUUUUGUAUAAUGGGUCAGCGACUUAUAUUCAGUAGCGAGGUUAACCGUAUAGGGGAGCCGUAGAGAAAUCGAGUCUUAAUAGGGCGUUUAGUUGCUGGGUAUAGACCCGAAACCAGGCGAUCUAUCCAUGAGCAGGUUGAAGGUUGGGUAACACUAACUGGAGGACCGAACCCACUGUCGUUGAAAAGCCAGGGGAUGACUUGUGGAUAGGGGUGAAAGGCUAAUCAAGCCUGGUGAUAGCUGGUUCUCCCCGAAAGCUAUUUAGGUAGCGCCUCGGACGAAUACCAUAGGGGGUAGAGCACUGUUUCGGCUAGGGGGUCAUCCCGACUUACCAAACCGAUGCAAACUCCGAAUACCUAUGAGUACUAUCCGGGAGACAGACUGCGGGUGCUAACGUCCGUAGUCAAGAGGAAAACAAUCCAGACCGCCAGCUAAGGCCCCAAAAUCAUAGUUAAGUGGGAAACGAUGUGGGAAGGCAUAGACAGCUAGGAGGUUGGCUUAGAAGCAGCCACCCUUUAAAGAAAGCGUAAUAGCUCACUAGUCGAGUCGGCCUGCGCGGAAGAUGUAACGGGGCUAAAACUAUGUGCCGAAGCUGCGGAUGUAUACUUUGUAUACGUGGUAGGGGAGCGUUCUGUAAGCCGAUGAAGGUGUGUUGAGAAGCAUGCUGGAGGUAUCAGAAGUGCGAAUGCUGACGUGAGUAACGACAAAACGGGUGAAAAACCCGUUCGCCGAAAGACCAAGGGUUCCAGUCCAACGUUAAUCGGGGCUGGGUGAGUCGACCCCUAAGGCGAGGCCGAAAGGCGUAGUCGAUGGGAAAAUGGUUAAUAUUCCAUUACUUCUGUGUAAUGCGAUGAGAGGACGGAGAAGGCUAAAUCAGCCUGGCGUUGGUUGUCCAGGUGAAAGGAUGUAGGCAUGUAUCUUAGGCAAAUCCGGGGUGCUCUAUGCUGAGAUCUGAUAGCAAGCUGUACUUGUACAGCGAAGUGGUUGAUGCCAUGCUUCCAGGAAAAGUCUCUAAGCUUCAGUUACACAGGAAUCGUACCCGAAACCGACACAGGUGGUCAGGUCGAGUAGACCAAGGCGCUUGAGAGAACUCUGCUGAAGGAACUAGGCAAAAUGGUACCGUAACUUCGGGAGAAGGUACGCUGUUGUUGGUGAUGGAACUCGCUUCCUGAGCUGACGACAGCCGCAGAAACCAGGCCGCUGCAACUGUUUAUUAAAAACAUAGCACUCUGCAAACACGAAAGUGGACGUAUAGGGUGUGAUGCCUGCCCGGUGCUGGAAGGUUAAUUGAUGGGGUUAGCGUAAGCGAAGCUCUUGAUCGAAGCCCCAGUAAACGGCGGCCGUAACUAUAACGGUCCUAAGGUAGCGAAAUUCCUUGUCGGGUAAGUUCCGACCUGCACGAAUGGCAUAAUGAUGGCGGCGCUGUCUCCAGCAGAGGCUCAGUGAAAUCGAAAUCGCUGUGAAGAUGCAGUGUACCCGCGGCUAGACGGAAAGACCCCGUGAACCUUUACUGCAGCUUGACACUGAACUUUGACCUUACUUGUGUAGGAUAGGUGGGAGGCUUUGAAGCUGGAACGCUAGUUCCAGUGGAGCCGUCCUUGAAAUACCACCCUGGUAAUGUUGAGGUUCUAACUCUGUCCCGUGAUCCGGGACGAGGACCGUGUCUGGUGGGUAGUUUGACUGGGGCGGUCUCCUCCUAAAGAGUAACGGAGGAGUACGAAGGUGCGCUCAGCGUGGUCGGAAAUCACGCGUAGAGUAUAAAGGCAAAAGCGCGCUUAACUGCGAGACCCACAAGUCGAGCAGGUACGAAAGUAGGUCUUAGUGAUCCGGUGGUUCUGUAUGGAAGGGCCAUCGCUCAACGGAUAAAAGGUACUCUGGGGAUAACAGGCUGAUACCGCCCAAGAGUUCAUAUCGACGGCGGUGUUUGGCACCUCGAUGUCGGCUCAUCUCAUCCUGGGGCUGAAGCAGGUCCCAAGGGUAUGGCUGUUCGCCAUUUAAAGAGGUACGCGAGCUGGGUUUAGAACGUCGUGAGACAGUUCGGUCCCUAUCUACCGUGGGCGCUGGAAAUUUGAGAGGAUCUGCUCCUAGUACGAGAGGACCAGAGUGGACGAACCUCUGGUGUACCGGUUGUGACGCCAGUCGCAUCGCCGGGUAGCUAUGUUCGGAAGGGAUAACCGCUGAAAGCAUCUAAGCGGGAAGCCUACCUCAAGAUAAGAUUUCCCUAGGACUUUAUGUCCUCUAAAGAGCCGUUCGAGACUAGGACGUUGAUAGGUUGGAUGUGGAAGCAUAGUGAUAUGUGAAGCUGACCAAUACUAAUUGCUCGUGAGGCUUGACUAU
rnacentral:rRNA from 1 species